rnacentral:rRNA from 1 species
UACGUAGGGUGCAAGCGUUGUCCGGAAUUAUUGGGCGUAAAGAGCUCGUAGGCGGUCUGUCGCGUCGGCUGUGAAAACCCGGAGCUCAACUCCGGGCCUGCAGUCGAUACGGGCAAACUGGAGUGUUGCAGGGGAGAGUGGAAUUCCUGGUGUAGCGGUGAAAUGCGCAGAUAUCAGGAAGAACACCAAUGGCGAAGGCAGCUCUCUGGGACGGUACUGACGCUGAGACGCGAAAGCGUGGGGAGCGAACAGG